rnacentral:rRNA from 1 species
UACAGAGGGGGCAAGCGUUGUUCGGAAUUACUGGGCGUAAAGGGCGCGUAGGCGGCCUGCUAAGUCGAACGUGAAAUCCCUGGGCUCAACCCAGGAACUGCGUCCGAUACUGGUUGGCUUGAAUCCGGGAGAGGGACGUGGAAUUCCAGGUGUAGCGGUAAAAUGCGUAGAUAUCAGGAGGAACACCGGUGGCGAAGGCGCCUAUCUGGCCCAAUACUGACGCUGAGGCGCGAAAGCUAGGGGAGCAAACGGG